UCCCCAGUGGCGCAAUUGGUAGCGCGCGGUACUUAAGAUGCCGAAAGGAUGUGGUCGAUCCCUCACCUGGGAAA